rnacentral:rRNA from 1 species
CCUACGGGAGGCAGCAGUGAGGAAUAUUGGUCAAUGGACGAGAGUCUGAACCAGCCAAGUAGCGUGAAGGAUGACUGCCCUAUGGGUUGUAAACUUCUUUUAUAUGGGAAUAAAACGUUCCACGUGUGGGAUUUUGUAUGUACCAUAUGAAUAAGGAUCGGCUAACUCCGUGCCAGCAGCCGCGGUAAUACGGAGGAUCCGAGCGUUAUCCGGAUUUAUUGGGUUUAAAGGGUGCGUAGGUGGAUUGUUAAGUCAGUUGUGAAAGUUUGCGGCUCAACCGUAAAAUUGCAGUUGAAACUGGCAGUCUUGAGUACAGUAGAGGUGGGCGGAAUUCGUGGUGUAGCGGUGAAAUGCUUAGAUAUCACGAAGAACUCCGAUUGCGAAGGCAGUUCACUGGACUGCAACUGACACUGAGGCACGAAAGUGUGGGUAUCAAACAGGAUUAGAUACCCUUGUAGUC